UAGGGAAUCUUCCACAAUGGACGCAAGUCUGAUGGAGCAACGCCGCGUGAGUGAAGAAGGUUUUCGGAUCGUAAAGCUCUGUUGUUGGUGAAGAAGGAUAGAGGUAGUAACUGGCCUUUAUUUGACGGUAAUCAACCAGAAAGUCACGGCUAACUACGUGCCAGCAGCCGCGGUAAUACGUAGGUGGCAAGCGUUGUCCGGAUUUAUUGGGCGUAAAGCGAGCGCAGGCGGAAGAAUAAGUCUGAUGUGAAAGCCCUCGGCUUAACCGAGGAACUGCAUCGGAAACUGUUUGUCUUGAGUGCAGAAAGGGAGAGUGGAAUUCCAUGUGUAGCGGUGGAGUGCGUAGAUAAAUGGAAGAACACCAGUGGCGAAGGCGACUCUCUGGUCUGCAACUGACGCUGAGGCUCGAAAGGAUGGGUAGCGAACAGG
rnacentral:rRNA from 1 species